rnacentral:tRNA from 1 species
GACUCGUUAGCUCAGUCGGUAGAGCAUCUGACUUUUAAUCAGAGGGCCCAGGGUUCGAGUCCCUGACGAGUCACCA